AGUGAACGCUGGCGGUAUGCCUAAUACAUGCAAGUCGAACGGCAGCACAGUAAGAGCUUGCUCUUACGGGUGGCGAGUGGCGGACGGGUGAGGAAUACAUCGCCAUCUACUUUUUCGUGGGUGAUAACGUAGGGAAACUUACGCUAAUACCGCAUAUGUCCUACGGGUUAAAGCAGUGGAUCUUCGGACCUUUCGCGAUUGUAUGAGCCGAUGUCGGAUUAGCUAGUUGGCUGGGUAAAGGCCCACCAAGGCGACGAUCCGUAGCUGGCCUGAGAGGAUGAUCGGCCACACUGGAACUGAGACACGGUCCAGACUCCUACGGGAGGCAGCAGUAGGGAAUAUUGGACAAUGGGCGAAAGCCUGAUCCAGCCAUGCCGCGUGAGUGAAGAAGGUCUUCGGGUUGUAAAGCCCUUUUGUUGGGGAAGAAAAGAAGCAGAAUUAUACCCCGCUGUUCUGACGGUACCCAAAGAGUAAGCACCGGCUAACUUCGUG
rnacentral:rRNA from 1 species